UACUCUCAUCUUUAAUUAAAACAGACACAGUUUCGCCCGACGUUCUGGUUCUGAUCUCUCCAGUCGCAUUCAACAUUCAGCCCACAUCUGGCGGACAAAAAAUUUAAAGAAAUUAAAAGCAACAAAAAUAACGGCCGGAGAGACGCAGACUACUGUGUUCAGUUGUCUCUGUUCUCCCGCCCCCCGGGCCACGCCCACAGUCAGAGUCGGAGACAAGGGCAAAUAUUGUUUCGGCUUGCAUUUGGUGCUCUAUUGUUGACUGCAACAUGUGGGCACAUCAUCAGCAUCGAACACACACGCGUGCGAGUGCGAGUAUAGUACUGUGUAUGUCUACCUAAGAUCGUGCCACAUGUGUUGCACAGACAUUGUCGCCGGUUCUCGAGGGGAAGUCGAGACCCGACUCCAGCGAGAGAACGAUGGGGUUAUCCAAAAUGUUGACUUCCAGGAAUGCAUCCGCCAAAUCGGAAACUGCCAAAAAUUGUAUAUAUAUAUAGGUCUCGCAUCGCUAUCUCCCUCCGACCUUCACCUCCAUCGAUAAGCAGCGCGCAAUUUUAGUAUAUUUCCUGUGCCGUCCAAAAUCGCUGCCGGUCACUUGGCGCAUCCAUUUCAAUCGCACGGGUUGACCCGCAAUUGACGCACUUGGUAGCCCCGCCGCCGCUCAGUGUAUCCGCUACCAAGUGGAGACCGGCACGAGUCUGUUAUUUCGCACGGUUCGUCGGCAGGUUCCACAAGCCACUAGCCACCAGCCACCCAAUCCAUCCAUCCAGCCAUCCAUUCAUCUAGCAUAUGCGAUUCAGUACGUGACGGCGAGAAGGUUGCCUCCCAUGGGGGAAGCGAGAUGAAGCAGAUGGAGCAAAAGGUCGAUUGUGUGGAGAAUAUUCGAUUUGAUUUACAAUUCAGCAACAUAAAGCACGCACCACCAACAGAAAGAACGAUUUUUUUUACCAAGUUCUGAUAUUCUUCAGUAAAAGUUUAAAUAAAAAAUAACU